GGGAGUAUGGCUUAGUGGUAGAGUGCAUGCACGCAUGAAGCCCUGAGUUCAAUUCCUCAGUACCA
rnacentral:tRNA from 1 species